CGGACUUAUCAUCAAUUUGAGUCCACCGCCCCACUGCCCUAGACAUCGUCAGAUGUGUUCAUGUCAAUUUCUAUCGAUUUCCAUGUGUCUUCUUCCUGUUAAACUUUAUUUUGUUUUCCCCUGUGAUUCUCUUUCUUGGUGGUCAUCUGCUUUUGUUUCUCUGGAUUUGACUAUGCUUCUUUCCCGUUCUCCUCAACCAUGGUAACCGCCCCCACCUCUUUUAUCACCGCCUCGGUUUCUUUCGUCCACCGAUCGUCUCCUACUUUUCUUCUCCACUCAGAGAGAUCACAGAGUCGAUCUCCACCGCAUCUGCCUUCUUGAAGGGCUACGAACGGAUGCCAGACAUAUCCACCAUCACCGACCGUUGAUCGACUUCCGAUUCACUUUUCCGGCCGCUUAACUUUCCAGGCAACAAGAUUUCUCAAUCCUUUUCAACUAUCCAUCUAAUUAUCACGCUAUCACGCUCAUAUAACGGAACCCUAGAAUCGAGUAACAUGUUAUAUCAUUCAUUCAAUUAGUGCUUAAAUAUCGUCUCUCAUCUUACGAAUAUUACUAGGUUUAUACAUCCAGGAUUAGAAUACAAAUAGGUAUGUUAAUGGCACUUGAUUAUCGAUAAUCUCACGCGAACUAGACACAGGAUACAUGAUCGGUGGAUUGAAAUGUCAAAGUCGAUUUUUUAUGUCUGUAACAAGAGUUGAGGAUAUCGACACCGGCAAAGAAGAGGUUAAUGAGGGAUUUCAAGAGGUCGCAGCAGGAUCCUCCAGUGUAAGGUGAGGGAACAGAGAGGUAGGAUUGAGUGAGAAAAUGACAUUAGAAGUGAUGAUAUAGCAUUCUACUUUGACUACUCCGAUAUGGUUGACUUUCUUCCUUUCGAUACCUACACAAAAUCAAAAUCCAAGACUCUAUUCAAAGUGAAACCGUGGUGGUUCCUUAAAGCUUGAAAUUGUUUUGGCAUUAUACAAGGGUUCACUAUUCUUUUGUUUUUUCAUGUUUUUGCAUCAGCUUUAGUUGUUUUAGUUUACCAAAAUAAAAAAUUAUAGUCACUUUGCUUAUUUAUUUGUAUAUGUUACCAAAGUUUUUCUUUGAGGGUAAAUUUGUCAUUAUACUUAACUGUUUUGUUGAUAUGGUAAAUCAAUGCUUCUUUACUUAUAUCUUAUUUGUGAACUUUUUGGUUUCACUAUCUAUUUAAGUCUCAUAAUAUCUACAUCUUUUGUUACAAAUUUUCACAAGGUACUCGGUGGGAUGAGAGGAAUGACAGGUUUGCUAUGGGAAAUAUCCUUACUUGAUCCAAAUGAGAAAGUAUUGCCAGCAGCAAAACCUGGUGUAGAGCCAUUACCUGAGGGCCUUCUCUGGCUUCUUUUGACUAGAAAGGUCCCAACAAUAGAACAAGUGAAUGCUUUGUCCAAAGAAUUACGCAGUCGUGCGACCAUCCCAGAUCAUGUGUAUAAAGCCAUCAAUGCAUUACCUAUAACAACUCAUCCAAUGACUGAGUUUACAACUGGUGUCAUGGCUUUGCAGGUACAAAGUGAAUUCGCAAAAGCUUAUGAGAAUGGAAUCCAUAAAUCCAAGAUACCGAGAGCCAACAUUUGAGGACUCUCUUUCAUUGAUUGCUCAACUACCAGUUGUAAUGUUUUGAUGAAUGUUGAAUGCUAUAAUAUGGACAAAAAAACCUGGGUGUUGCUGCCGCACUUGCUAUUUACUUUGCAACACAAAGGGGUCAUCAUAUUAUAGCAUACUACAACAUAUUUGUGUAUCUGUAAAUGGGCGAAACGUAGACAAUAGCAACAUAUUUUACUGUAGCUACCAAUUAGAAAGUUGUAUUAUAGUUCCACACAAAAGCGACACCUUCCGACCCCCGCAAUGUGGGGGUUACCUUUCUAGUUAUUAUUAUUAUUAUUAUUUAACGGAAUGUUACAUCAUAA